rnacentral:piRNA from 1 species
GCUGGGAUUACAAGUGCCCACCACCAUGC